UGGAGACACAGAGUGUGAUUCACACCCAGAGGUGCACACAGUCACAAAUCUGUGAGCUGAUGUCUGAUCUGUUUUGGCCGUGUGACUGGAUGUUGUUAUUUAACCCAGGAAAUAAAAACAAAUGACGAGCAGAGAUACACCAAUGAUCUCAUCUGAUAAGCCAAUAAGUCCAUGGCGUUCAGAGGAACCCUGCCAUUGGUGGCUUUACACUUCAACCCAGGAAAUUGACGGGGUAAAAGUAUCCGAUCUGAACUCCUCUGGGACAGGGCCAACAUCGGGAGUGGGCGGAGUGAUAUGAGGAACCUGACGGCCGUUAAGAGCUUAAAAACAAAUAACAGAAGCUUGAAGUAAAUCCUGUGAUGCACAAGGAACUACUGAGGAGAAGCUGGAAGUGAGACCAGGAUUAACACACUGUGAAUGGUUCAGUCCUGAACACACACCUGGUCACGUCUGACAUCAGUUCGACGUCUCUACAGCUGCGUCUACGGCGGAAAGCGAAGCAGCUGCUCGCUCCUGAGCCACGUUCACGUUCAUGCUCCUGAGCCACGGCGUGGGAGGAACGGCCUACGACAGCUGAGACACGUACAGGGAGGGAGGAGCCGAGGUCUAUAGGAGGACGUGUGAAAGUCACGCUGUCAUCAGGAGUGAUCUUUCUGACACGGCUUCCUGAGGGUUCAUGAAGGAUUUGUCUGGACGUGUCGUGCAGGUGGACACGUUUAAACCGCUCUAGAUUCGUGUACGGUUAUCUUCGUGUUAUUACAAACAAAGCCCUGAUUCGCAAGUUGGAACGUUUUUCUAGAGUACUGUCUCAUUAAUAUCUCAUUAUAUCUCAUUGCUUAAAUGGCUUUAGGGAUACAGUUGCUGUUUGUUUUGCACUCGGGUCUCAACAUAACCUCAUGAUAACCUCAACAUAUAUCUACCAUACUAUCUCAUUAUUUCAGUUUAUUAUCUUGGUUUUACACAUUAUCUCAUAUCACCCUUAGUAUG